ensembl:lncRNA
CCCCGCGGCUUCCCGGCGGCGGAGGAGGGGGAGCCCCAGCCUUCGGCUUGCCGGGAAAAGGCUCGAUGCGGCGGGAAGGUGCCGGGACGGAGGCCCGGGAAUGAUGGGGGCAUCUCAGUGCUCCCCGCCCUCCAAUCCCUUUCAGCCGUCACGGCACCCUGGGAGGGUCUCGGUGUCCCGCAAACGUGGCCUCGGGUGGCGGAGUGGCCGUGGCGUGUUCCCAGUGCGAACAGUGUCAGACUCGGACAGGUGGCAGCUGUGGCAGCCCUUUGGCAUCCGCUUGGUUUUGAUACGGACCCCUUAAAAAGCAAGGCAACAUCCCGCAGCUUCAUAAAACAUAAUCUGAGCUAGCACAGUGAGAUCUGGUUAUUUCCUAAUCUUGCAUUAAACUCAUUCACUGAAGGAGAAGAAGGAAUAGCUAGCAUGCCACCAGAAAAAAUCAAAAAGACAAUUUCCAAAAUGUAUCAACUGAAAUUCUCAUAAAACUUGACCAGACCCUGCUAAGUGACUAGAAACAGGAAAAACUGUUGCAAUCCUGUGAUGAAUCAGUAGGAUUUUGAGAGAAGUGAAGAAAUGUGAAAAGAAGCACUCUAAGUUUUAUACUUGAGGACCAGGAUCUCACUUUUGAGACAAAAAUGCAGCUGAUGAACUGUACCUGCAAGUAAUCCCCUAUCUUCCCUCUCUCCUUCUCAGCCUCAUGCCCCACCCAGCUCCACCUCUGCACAUAAAACCCACAUAAACUGCAGCUUUUUGCACUCUGUGAACUGCAGGGACAAAUAUUUUAAAGAUAAAGAUUGGAAAGGUCCUAGCCAAGACAAGGCUGAGAGCCUUGGGCUCCAUGUUCUCCUCUAACGUGGCAUUUUACAAAGACUCCUCCUACCACAUGACAAGUUUUGCAGGGAAGGAUGACUCCCAAAGAGCUAUGAAACAGUGAGAAGGGACAUGGCAAUGAGAUUAUAACUGAAACAGAUUUGUAACUUCUGCUCCCAUCUCCUUUGCCUGUAGUUGUUUACAAAACACUGGGUGUGCAUGUGGAAACCACAAAAGCAGCUCCUGCCCUCCUGAAGAACAAACCACCCUCCAGCUUUCAGAAUUCAGAUGGUUCCCUGUCGUGAGCACCCAGGCUGCUCCAUGAUGGCUGGUGUAUGGAAAGAGGCUUAAUUAAACCACAAAUCAUAGAAUUCCAAGAUGAGACCUAACUGCUAUUUGACUCAGGAUAGGCUUAUUUUUCAUUCUCCUCUACAAAACAAGCCACUUCCCAGCACUCUUCUACCCAGCUCAGAGUGGCUCUCUUGGCGACCCUCGGGUGAUGAAGCAAGGAGGGGGACCUGCUAUGGGGCCGCCUGUGCCGUGGGAAGUGUGAACCCCCGUGCACGCCUGGCCUUCCUGGGCUGUGGAAUAUUGAUGAGCUGUGAAAAAAAGCAGGGAGGUUUGUUCCUGUGAUCUGCUGUGCCUGCUAGCUCUGUCUCUCUGUAUAUAUGUAUACAUGUUUACGUGUGUGCUAGUGUGGGUGUAAGUACAUAUUCUCAAAAUAUAAAUAAAUAUAAAUAAGCAUGCAUGCACAUAUCUGCACAAAUAUUUAUACAGAUUUUUUUAAGAAGGAAGGGGAAACAGUGAUGAAAAUCAGAAUUUUUGUUCAAAGGAUCCACUUUGCGCGGGGGAAAAUGUAUUGGCAAUAGAUUUUUUUCCCCUGAACCUCAGCUCAACUUCACAAAACCCGAUUUCCAACAUGGCCUUCAUACAAUUGCUUUUAUCACUUUCUCUCAUUGUGUCCUUAUGUACAAGGGUAAAGACUAUUCUACUGCAUCCAAGUACAGUGUGCUAAAGGGAGGGUGAGCAGUGGGGAGCCGUGCCUGUGCCACUGUCCUUUGCCUGUUCCUGAUUCCAUGGCCUGAGGCAAUGGUUUGCAUUUUUAGGACAACAGCCGGCUAUCUGCAAGCAGGAGACCACUCGUCAGGCUUCAUUACUGCACACAAAAUGACACUAGUGAGCCUGUGGUCACAACUGUGCUUAUGGUGCGCUGAAAAGCCAUUACAUCUCAUUGCAACAAAAAACUGCACGAAUGUACAGGCUGACCAGCCCCAUAAAUUGCCAAAAACCUGACAGGUCAGCUUAUUUAUGCAAUGUAGUACCUGCAGUAAAAUUUUCUGGAUAGAGCAAUAGUAGGGGACUAGGAACAAAAUAUGGUGUUAUAGUUUAAUUGGCAAUGCUUCUGUUUCCUUUAUUGAGUACUGAGAAAAUAAAGAAUUUCAUUCUGCUGCAUGCUUGCUGCAUUAGGCAUGGUCAGCUGAAGUGUCUUCCCCUUCUUCACAUUAACAACCCUAAAGCAUAGUUAAAAUAUAAUGACUAGCAUGAAUGGAUUUUCAUGUUUGAUGUUAUUUUUCAUUGUUUAAAUUUUUGGUAUUAUACAGAUCACAUUGACAUAUCUGACAUAUAGCAUUUUGCUUAGCUGUAAGUGAACUGGUUUCUGCUAUAAUUAUAGACAUUAUUACUUGUUUAGUUGGGCAAUGAGUAUAUCUAAUAAUGUUGCAUGUGAAGGGUAAAACUGAAAGAGACAAAGAAAAUGCAGCUAUUAGGAUUCUGGAACAUUCCCUUCUGAAGGAAAUUCAUAUUGUAAUGUGGCUAGCAUCUAUUUAUGUCACAUGUAAUUGGUACAUAUUGGCAAGUGCUGUGAACAAAAGAAUUCUGGGCCAGAUUCUGAUCUUGUGUGCAUGCUUAUGUACACAUAUAAAGAGAGAGAGGGUAUAAUUUUAUCCUGGUGAAACAAGAUAAGAAGAAAGACAGAUUAUCUUUUGGGAAGUCAGAUGCUAUAGCUGGGGAAAGCAGAAGGGCUUCCAAGUCCAUGGUGACUUUCUCAACUGAUCUUACUUCCUUAGCAUAAUUUGUUGAUUGUAGUUAUAACAAUGUUUAAUAACUUUAGAUCUGUAAUGGAAUUGUGUCAGUGGAUGGGGCAUUGUAAUUGAGCUCAGCAACAAGAUGUUUCCUUAUCAAUAAAACUAUUCCUGUACCCAU